rnacentral:siRNA from 1 species
CUGCGGAAUUCACAUGCUGCA